UACGAAUCGUCCAAACGUUGUUCGGAUUCACUGGGUUUAAAGGGCGCGUAGGCGGUGCGUUAAGUCGGCGGUGAAAUACUUCGGCUCAACCGGAGAAUUGCCGCUGAAACUAGCGUGCUCGAGGAAGGUAGAGGUGCGUGGAACUUCCGGUGGAGCGGUGAAUGCGUUGAUAUCGGAAGGAACACCGUGUGGCGAAAGCGACUACCUGGCCUGGUUCUUGACGCUGAGGCGCGAAAGCUAAGGGGAGCAAACGGGG
rnacentral:rRNA from 1 species